GAGUUUAGAAAAAGAUACUUUGAUGUCAAUCAGGACAACAAGUUACUGUACCAGGAGAAGCAGCUGCAGAACGUUCCAGCCAAAUACAGCAUUGAAGUGAAGGGCUCAACCUGUGUGUCUGUGCAGAUGUCUCAGUUCUACAACAUUCCCACUCCUACUGAAGCUAAAACAUUGAGCAUUGAUGAUUGAGGGAUUGCAAGAAAAGCUAUUGUUAAAUUUCACUGUUAAAUAUGAUGGUCUACAGGAAAAGACUAACAUGGUCAUUGUGGAUAUUAAACUCUUAUCAGGAUUCACAGCUGAUACAUCACAGGUGUGUUUGACUAUGUGAAGCGAUUCAUUAUUAGAUUUACAGUACUGUCACUGCGAAUCUACUGUAAGAUGGUGCAGCUAUGGCUGAUAUUGUCUUGCUCACUUCUUGCUGAACAGCAUGAUAGCUUACAGAAAUUACCUCAACAAAUCAUACAUUUAUUUUUUAAAAAUCACUUUUUCUACAGCUUGAAUCUCAAAGCACUUCAAGCGCAUCACUUGUGGAACGGGUCGAUUCUGUAGAUGUGACACUCGAUUCUUUCCAGCAGUGACUGUAUGAUUUUGAGAUCCAUCUUUUCACACUGAGGACAACUGAGGGACUCAAACACAGCUAUUAAAAAAGGUUCAAACAUUCACUGAUGCUCCAGAAGGAAACAUGAUGCAUCAAGAGUCGGGGGGUGAAAACUUUUGAACAGUAUGAAGUCGUCCAAAUUUUUCUUUUGUUUAAAUAUCAAUUUUUUUCAUUUAGUACUGCCCUUCGGAAGCAA